ACGGGCCAGACAGCUGUUGGAGCAGAGCGACUAAUGAGGUGAGUGUGUUACUUCUUUCUAACUGGGAACGAGCCGAUAAACCCCCUCACACACACACACACACACACACUGACUGUGAGACAGACAGGGAUCUAUCUGGGUCCCUGUCUGUCUGUCUGUCUGUCUGUCUGGCUGGCUGGCUCAAAAGCUUUUUUAAAAUGUGAUAUCACUGAAUUAUUGAUAAGCGUUUGUCAUGCAUUAUAGACGGGCUGAGAGGGAAAGGGGCUGAGAGUACAGUCUGAAGCCUGUUUUACUAAUAUAUUGUUAUUUUUUUAUAUAAAACUGCUGCUGCUGCUGACACGGAUAAAAGCAAAGUGGAGACAAACAAGCGCAGAUACUUGCAGGAGAAGAUUCAAAGUGAAGACUACUUAUGCAGCUCCAUUCAGCUUUACCUACAGUUUGUUUUGGCUGUUCGGGCUUAACUUUUAUAGCACUUAUAGAGCCUUUUACAACCCUGGUUUGGCUGAUGUGUUGCAGG